rnacentral:tRNA from 1 species
GUUUAGGUAGCUUAAUUUUUAAAGUUUGACAUUGAAAAUGUCACGAUGAUUUUUAUCUCUGAACA